rnacentral:tRNA from 1 species
GGCCGAGGUGGCGAAACUGGUAGACGCGCCGGACUCAAAAUCCGAUGGUGGCAACACUGUGGGGGUUCGAUUCCCCCCUCGGUACA